UUUCUUACCGAGGAUCGUGAAAAACAACUUCUUGUCGGGGCGAAAAAGUGGCUAAGUCGCGAAAAACAAUCAGAAAAUCGCGUAGAAAAGUGUCAAGUGAGGGUUUUAGAAGCGUUUUGUGCUAGUAUCAUAUCGGGUUUCUAUCAGAAAACGGUGAAAAUUCGACAAACGACCAAUUAUCUUACAACUGACAUCCUGACAUGGCUGCCGAAUGAAACGGGCUGUUGACUGUAUGCGCAACAGGCUAAGAAUCGAACCAAAUUCACCCCGUAAAGUGUUACACCCUCUUCGCGAAAGUGUUUUUUCGAAUUGAGACUUUUUGGUGAAUAUUUUCUGUUUGGUGAUAUCGCCGAUAUUAGCUAGAGAGACGGUUGGUUGAACUAAGGAGUUUGCGACAAAUAAGUAAGUAUUACUUUUAAAUUAGGUACUAUUUUCUGUUAAGCUAUCAAUACAUCGU
rnacentral:lncRNA from 1 species